rnacentral:lncRNA from 10 species
CAUAUGCAUGUUCUCGUCCAUGGGCUCAUACCCAGUCCAAAGGACUUUACCCCAGCUCCAUCUUUGCCCAGACACACUUGAGGCUGCAGGGUUUUGUUUGGAUGUGUGUCCCCUCCAACUCUCAUGUUAAAGUGUGAUCCCCAAUGUUGGAGGUGAGGCCUGGGGAGGUGUUUUGGUCAUGGGAGGAGAUUCCUCACAAAUGUCUUGGUGCCCUCCUCACAGUAAUAAGUGAGUUCUCACCCUGUUACUUUGUGCAAGAGCUGGUGACUUGAGUCUGACAUCUCUCCUGUUCUCUGUCUUGCCAUGUGACGUGACUGCUCCUCCUUUGCCUUC